GAGAGGCCCAAACGUUAUUCGGAAUCACUGGGCUUAAAGAGUUCGUAGGCGGUCUAGAAAGUUGGGUGUGAAAGCCCUCGGCUCAACCGAGGAACUGCGCUCAAAACUACUAGACUUGAGGGAGAUAGAGGUGAGCGGAACUGAUGGUGGAGCGGUGAAAUGCGUUGAUAUCAUCAGGAACACCGGAGGCGAAGGCGGCUCACUGGGUCUCUACUGACGCUGAGGAACGAAAGCUAGGGGAGCAAACGGGAUUAGAUACCCCGGUAGUCCUAGCCGUAAACGCUGAGUACUGGACCGGAGCCCUGCACAGGGUUUCGGUCGUAGCGAAAGUGUUAAGUACUCCGCCUGGGGAGUAUGGUCGCAAGGCUGAA
rnacentral:rRNA from 1 species